GUCUGUGGCCAUACUACCCUGAGUGUACACGAGCUCGUCUGAUCUCAGAAGCUAAGCAGGGUUGGGCCUGGUUAGUACUUGGAUGGGAAAACAACAAGAGAUGCUGGUAGAUGGCUCACC
ensembl:rRNA 5S_rRNA 5S ribosomal RNA